rnacentral:sRNA from 1 species
UUUUAUUGUCUUAAAUACAGGGAACGUAAAGUAGCAAUGUAUUCUAGUAGAUAUAAAACCAGAGAGAAAGUGAACAGUCAUAUCUUUUUACCUCUGCACUGAAAACAAAUACAAACAUAGUUGUUAACUUUUACUUUUCUGAUUAGCAAGUUAAGGAAAAUAAUUCACCAUCUUUAAAAACACUCAUUUCUUUUUAAUUACCGCAUUCAUUUUUCUCCGUUUUCUUUAAAGUGUUGUAUUGAAAUGACUCCUUUUCUUCAGUGCCUUGCUUUCUGUGCUUUUAUUGUACCAGUAAUAACUUUAGGUCCGAUGCUGAGUUUUACUGGGAACCCUGAAACAAUAAUAGAACAUAUUGAGCCUUUGACUUUGACAUGUUCGUUUAAGGUCAGUGACAACAAGGUGUACGAAGACAUUGGACUAGAGGCUCGUUUCUUGUACAUAUUACAUGGUAAG